rnacentral:sRNA from 1 species
CGGCCGCCGGCCAGGAUCGAGCCCUGGCCCGGGCCCUGGCCCAGCCCCGGCCUCCAAGGACCGCGCCGAAGGAGGUGCCCACUGGAGGGAGGAGGCGCUCGACUUUCUCAGGAUACUGUCCCUCUCCCAGAGAGGAGCUGAAGGAAUACGACAGAAGAACUGUCAAAUUCUGGAAUCCUUAAAGCCAUGUCCAAGGAUUUGGUGACAUUUGGGGAUGUGGCUGUAAAUUUCUCUCAAGAGGAAUGGGAAUGGCUGAACCCUGCUCAGAGGAAUUUGUACAGGAAAGUGAUGUUGGAGAACUACAGGAGCUUGGUAUCAUUGGGAGUUUCUGUUUCUAAGCCAGAUGUGAUCUCAUUAUUGGAGCAAGGAAAAGAGCCCUGGAUGGUGAAGAAGGAGGGAACAAGAGGCCCAUGCCCUGGUGAGUGAGAGAGAAAUAGGGAGACAGAAGCCAUUGCCAGGAAAAGCUCAGCAAUUCUGAAAGAUUUCAGUUCAUAAUUGACGUUUCCUGGGUAGCUUUUCUUAAAGACUCAAAGCCUGGGAAGAAAUAUUGAGGCAUCUUUAGUAUGAGCUCCUCAAUUUGUUCUCUCUGUCUGUAUUCUCUCACAAGUUACAGUCUUCUCUGACAGUAAUCUUCUCUGAUAACCCAUUUUCCUAUUGUUGGAUCCAAAUGUCACAGCAUCUCCCUGUCCUUGCCUUUUAGUUUUAUACAAGUUGCUUGGUUUCAUUUUUUAAAAAUCCAGGUGCCUGUAAUCCCAGCUCUUGGGAAACCAAAGUGGG